UGUGAUUUUUAACAGUAUUUUUAUUUAUUGAAAUGAAUUUUAAUUACAUAGCAUACUAUUACAUUUAAUUACAUACUAAUAUUAUGCAUUAUUAUGCAUUGCAAAUUAUGCAAAAUUACAGCAUUUAAAUGGUUCUCCUUUUCCUAUGUUCUCCUUGCUAUGUCAUAUAGUGUCUCUCUCAGUGAAUGGGACAUAGAUUUUACAAGUAAAAUUUAUAUAAUGAAUAAUAUAUGUGUCAAAUAAUGUUCUUAGUCUUUUCUUCCUGUGGUGGAGACUACAAUAAUUUACUGUGAAUUAAAUGGAAAUCAAAUUACUAAUAUUUUAUAGUCUGUGCUUCCAAAUGACUCCUCAAGCUUUAAAACACAUCACAAGUUACAACAUGCAGACUUUGAGCCCAUAUUGGACAGUUGGCAAACUUGUAGUGUAACAAAUUUAACAUAAUAGUAUUUUCCUCAAACACACCUAUUGUUUCACUUCAGAAGACAUUGAUUCGUCAACUGAGGUCAUGUGGAUUACCAUCGUGUUCACUUCGUUUGGUAUUUGACCUUCUUGCGUGAACUCACAGAGAUGGAUUAUUUUUCUUAAUAUCUCUGUAUUCAACAGAAAAAGAGAAUGUCAUAAUCCUCUGGAACAGCAUGAAGGAGCAAAGAGCAAAACUGACAGUGGUGGACAGAGAAGAAGUGCCCUUGACGAGGAAACCAUGGCAGCCAUAUAGUCAAGAAGAGAUUUCCAAAUGUGUCCAAAGAGGCUUUGAGGAUUUGAACUGGGGAAACAGACUUCUUGAAAGCAAAAAAGAUAUA